UCUAGCCAAGACAGACUGUUCAGUUUCCACAUGCCAGUUACUUAGACUCCUACCUGACUGUUGAUCAUAUUUGCUUAUUUAGCCCCUUGUAUCCUAUGAUUCUCCAUUGGUGUUCUGUAUUUGUGAACCUUGGGCGUGCUUCCUGUGUCUGGCUCUUGCCUAGUUGUUCCUGGCUGAAAAUUUAACCUUUCUGCCUUAUCUCAGAUGGAUCUGGCCAUUUUUACACAGAAUCACGAGGAUGGCAAAUUCUACAGCUGACAGUCUUCAUUUGGCAUACUGCAUUCAUUUUUGGAAACCACAGUUUAAGAAAGACACUGAAGAGCUGGACAGUGCUAAGAAGAAAGAAAUCAUAAAGGCAAAGGAACUUGGCCAUGACCUCAUAAACUUCAACAGGUCAGAUGGGCAAACCACGGGAAGUCUGGGGGCUGGAGUCCAUGCUGAGGUUUGCCAAAAGCCAGAGGGUGAAGAACAAAAAUACACUACAUUACGUGACCUCCUUGCCCCAGGCCGCCAGUAGCAGAAAUGUGCACUGACCUGCCCAUCAGCAACGCCACACUUGGAAAUGGAUUUGAUGGGGGCAAAUGUUAAGGUGCAGGCUGCAUUAUAUCUGAGGCAACUCUCCCUAUGGACUGAAGUGGCAUAGGGGUGAACGUGCUCCCAGAUAUGUGCAUGCAAA